CAGCUUAGUUUCUUCUUCUUGGACCUUCAAGGAAAUCAUAAACUUGUGCUUAUGACAACCAUCUACUGCUACUGAAACAACUGUGAUGUCAAAUUCAAUAUUAUAGACUUGUAUACAGAAUCAAAAAAAGGACUGCAGAUCUUUGACUUAGACCAAUAUUAAGCUCUGGGGCUGUAUAACGUGCAAAUGCUUGAAAGAUUCAGAAGAUCAAUAGCCACAGAAAACAUAUUGUUGAACACAUCAUUGUUGAGCCCGUGUUUUAGAAACCCAGUAAUCUGUGAGGUGAUACCAUUGUCUCCAGUGCAGAGCAAGAUGCCUCUAUGUGCUGGAACCAUGAAGGAGCCAUGCUUUGAGUCGCAAGGUCCAUAAGUUGGGAUGGAGAGUGCACCCC